CACAUUUUUUCCUGAUGAUGGUGUUUGGAUUUAGUUUUGGAAUCGAGUACUGCGUUUUCAAUUAUAGCAUGUUUGAACUUGAAACUACCAAUGUAUAUCUUAUUAUUAUCGUAAGUAUUUUUAAUUAUCAUAUUAGCAAAAUAUGGAUUAUUUUAUGAUAAAAAUAUCCAAAUAUUUUAUUACCCGUGAACAAAUUUUAAAAUAGCAAGAAACUGGAAUAAAUCAGAAGCUUCUUGUACUCGGCUAUAAAUUGACGACUGCUGUUCUUAUUCUCCCGGAGCUUGGCGAUCAAAGUCCAGAGGUUGGUUGAUCCAAGCAAUUUUGGAAAGCUGCACCGCGCAAAGCCAAACCUUCUUCUCAACUCCCUCCUCAGACUCCGCCGUCUACCGGUUGAUAUGUUCUCCAGUUGCUUCUAUUAUGAAUCGAGAUAGUUCGCGCCUUUCUCCCCUUGUUACGUGACUUAGAAACUGUAUUUUUGCUCUGAUGUUGUUUAGCAGUUAGUUAUCUUUACUUGGUAAACUAAAGCGGGCUCUACAAUAGUUUGCAGCCUUUGGUGUUAUUUGCUACUACGACGAUGCCGAUUUUCCUUUGCAUCUACUUCUGUGACAUCGCCUAUAAAGCAGUUUGCAACUUAUCCGUAGCUCUACUUUCUGCGUCGACCACAUUUAACGAAGAUAUUGAAGUCCGUGAAAAACUUAAAGAUGUUUCAUAUAAAAUUCGAGUGUUACACAGCGAUUUUACAGCAGCGAGAUUUUUAACAGUCGAUAGAAAACUCGCUGUCGCUUUACUGUAUUCCAUAGGGUCAUAUUUUCUUGUAAUUCAACAAGCAUACAUUCCCAGACAGUGAGAAGAUUUUAACAUUAUUUUUAAUUAAGUUUCUUAUAGCACACCCAAGGACCGGUUUCAAGCCUAACCUUUUCCAUCAGCUGGGUUUAGGUCCAAAAUAACAGUCCCGAACCUGUACCUACUUUAUUUCCCCAAUUUAUUUUACGGGACUAGUUUUUAAUGUAAAAUACACCGGGGAAAAACAACUACAUGUUUUGGAGUGUUAUUUUUUGGCCAAGCCUAACUGAUGAGAGUUAUUGUAAGAGUAACAUAUCUAUAGAUCAGUACUUACAUCGAAGACCGUAAACGGCUUUGAAGAUACCGAAAGUUUUAUUGCUCUUCUCUACUAUAAAAAUAAGCACUAACUAAAAUAACAACUUCUACCGGACAUACAUACACUAUCAUGAAAUAAAACUGUAAACAAUUAUUGAUAAAGUACUCACAAAUGGCUGUAAUAGAAAAGUAAAAUGGCAUGCAACUACCA